rnacentral:rRNA from 1 species
UAGGUUUGACAUGGACGUGGUACCCGGGGCGAAAGCUUUGGGGACCCGCAAGGGAGCGUUCACAGGUGCUGCAUGGCUGUCGUCAGCUCGUGUCGUGAGAUGUUCGGUUAAGUCCGGCAACGAGCGCAACCCUCGCCUCCAGUUACCAGCGAGUAAAGUCGGGGACUCUGGAGGGACUAACCCGUUAGGGUGGGAAGGUGGGGAUGACGUCAAGUCAGUAUGGCCCUUACAUCUAGGGCUGCACACGUGCUACAAUGCCUGGUACAAAAGGAACCAAUACCGCGAGGUGGAGGAAAUCCCUAAAGCCAGGCCCAGUUCAGAUUGGAGUCUGCAACUCGACUCCAUGAAGCCGGAAUCGCUAGUAAUGGAGAUCAGUACGUACCGGA